CAAUAUCCAUCAUUGGAUCAUGCUGAGAUGAUAUCUCAGCCCUAUAAACUCUAUUUUUUAACCGUCAUUGUGGCAGUUCUUGGCGGUUUAUUGGCAUCGUCAGUUCACCCCACUCUCCUUUUUCUCCUCCUAAAUCCUUGCUGCUACAACCGCACCUCCAGUAGGUUAUUUUAUUGAUCCUCUCACCAAACCUUCCAUUCUCAUUCUCAUAUUUACAUUCUUUGAAUGUUCCCCCAAAUCCUUCCAACUUUACAAUCAAUUGGAGUCGAUUGGUAAACCCUACUACUUCAUUGCGAAGUAGUUAAUCAAACCUGCAAAUCCUCAGUGAUUCUGAACCAAUGUUAUUCAGCCGUCACUACAAUUUCUCAUUUUCUUCCUUCAUGGUGCUAUAUUACUUAUCUAUUUUCUCAUCUUCUCCGUUUAAUCUCUGCGAAUCAUCAGUCACUCACUGCUUGCAGCAAUUGGCGGUAUCACUUUGCCUGAAACGGAAUGGAUGUGGUGUACAAAGGGACUUCUUUGACGUACAAAGUGAUUGGGGGGUAUUUAUGAGUUUUACUUCUUUUUUGGGUCAUUCGUUCUUGCCAUGGUCGCCCUGUUUCUAUGCCCUACUCGGAAUUGGUUGUUGAGUCAUGUUUGCUGGAUGUUGCGAAACAUGAAAAGGAUAGAAUGAUCAGAUCUGGAAGGUACAGGUUAUGGUGAGUAGGAACCCAAGAGUGGAUAUUGAGAGUCUGAGUUCCGAAGGUAUGGGAUGUUGCAACUGGUGCAAGGUAGUACACUUUUGAAGGUCAUGAUGCUCCUCUUACUCUGAGCUUUUAAGGAUCUUGAAAAUUGCGAAUUCCACCACCAGCAUUCUCUAUCCUCAUGUCAUCGUGGAGGCGGCUGCGGUUGUGGAGGUGGAGGUGGUGGUGGGACUCCAUUUGGCGUUUUGAGUGCGUUGAACACUCUUAGUAAAAUAUGUGAGUAGAGAAGACUAUGGAGGUUAGCCAGGUUGGGUAGUGGGUCAAACGGUUGAAUAAAAAGAUAUAUCACUUUUUAGUAUGUGUCUCGAAGUCAAAACGGACCGAGAUAGGGUGUCAAAAAGGGUUGAGUUGAACUUGCUAACACCUUUGGCACAAUUGAAGGCGUUGAUCCAUGGUUUGAACAACCAUUAUUACUCGAUAGCCAAGUAUCAUCUUCAAAAAGUCAUAAUGAUAAUGUUGGGGUUCUUUCAAAUUAUGGUCCUGCCUUAAAAAGAAUGCAAUUCUUCAUUUGAAUCACACAUUUCUUCUCAGCGUAUCAAUCACUCUAUGUAUAUCAAUAGUUUGCUAAUUUAAAAUAGUGUAGAUAUAAGUCCACAAGACUCCAUCCUUUUGUAUGAUGCUGUGGAAGUUGGGCAUAUGAGACGUCAUACUCAAGAAGAUGUGGAAACUCGAUAUCAUUUUUACAUAGUAACUCACCAGGGAUUGAAAUUUAAAUAUGCUCAAGUGCUUCAAAACUGCAGGUACCACCUGUUAGUAUAAAAACAUCAUAUAUUUAAAGAUUGGGUAAUGUUUUAUCACUACAAAUCAAAGGUAUGCUUUUUAUCUGAUGGGUUUUGUUUAGAAUGCAAUUAUAUAUAGUGAUGCCAUUAUGACAUUAAAGCACCCGGCCACUGAUAAAAAAACAUUUUUUUACCGACUGAGUAUCACACAUUUUGACUCUUUUUAAAACAAAUAAUAUUGUUGUUAAAAAUGCAAAGAAAAAAAAUACUUGAACCCAUGUUUUUUCAAACUUUUAAUGCUACAAGGAAGCCAUUCACUUAUUAGAAGUCACAAGUCAUCACCAGAGGAUUUAAAUCAAAAAGGGUGUUACAUAAAUGGCAUCAUAAGCACCAAUACCACUCCUUUUUAGAUGUAAAAAAAGUGGUGACCUAUCAUUUUGAGUAGUUUAUGAAACCUUGGUGCUGGUAAAAGGAGUUGAGGCUACCUCUUCAACUCAUAUGUGAAGUGGAAUUGAAAAGUACAGUUGCAGAUGUAAGUAUGUUGUUUUCAAUACAUGGCAAAUUAUUAACUCAUUUUUUAUGAUAUUAUAUUGGUGUUUACUAACUUAGAUGAUAUUAGAAUUCAGCUGUUUAGUUUCGGGAUAAAAAAUAACCAUUAAAGGCAUGGUAAUAGGUCCAUACAUUUUUGACUGAAUACACAGACAUGAUUGGGCUUUGAAAUCAGUAACAUCAACAGGCAUGAUACAUGGCCCAGUUGUUGAUUUUAUAAGGAUGCCCAUGAAUGAAGAGGAGCUCAGUUGUUCGGAUCAUCCAACACCCCGCUGUAAUCAGUCGUGACCCAUUUAAGCAGUUCUUUUUUUUAAUGGUUUUGCAGUCCGUGAUUCCAUUUUAGCCAAUUGUUACGUUAGCGUGUCUGUUACCGUCUAAUAAAUCUACUUUUGUUAAGUGUUACGAAUGAAAGAGGUGGUGGUGAAUUUGUUUAUGAAAUUAUCUUGGUUAUUUUCUGUUUGAAUCCAGUCAUUUGUCACUGCUAACUCGAAUCUGGCAAUUCGAGAAGGUGAUCUUAGAUACCAAGUUUUAGUGUUGGUGACGAGUUUGUAUCCAGCAAAUAAUAUUGCAGCCCUGUUGUUUGUAGAGUGGUGACUUUAUGUAUCUCAUUUGUUAUUCGAAACAUAAAAUUUAAAGUGAGAUAUUUUCUAAGUUUGUAAUGGGAGUAGUUUUUAAUAUGUGUGUUAUUUUGGUAACUGGUCUAACUGGAUAAAUGGGUAUGGGUCAUGCUGAUUCGUUUAAAAGAUAUGAGCAUUUUAGUUUGUGUAAAAACGGGUUUCUUAAAAUGGAUAGGGUCGGAAUGGGUUUUGUGUAGACUUAUAAAAUAUGAUGGAAAGUUGCACUUUGCUUGUAGGCAUCCGAAUGAAUGGUUUGUGUGACAUUGGAUGCUCACGGAGUCACGGGUAACGACACAUGCUGAUCAGGGUGGUUCUUCGUGUAAAGGAAGGUUUAGCGUCCUCUUAAAGCUAUAACAGAUGAAAUUAUGUAAGAAUCGUCAACUGGUAAGCGAAAAUUUACUCUUAAAACACAAUGUUUAUCUUAUCUUUAAGCACUAUAGUUCUUAUUGAGAGUGUUAAUGAAUAAUCUUAGUUGAAAAGGAGAAGAAAAGAAGCAAAAUGUUGUGGUUCCAACCAUUAAUCGAUUGGCCUAAAGAAAAUAGGAGGAAUCCAGAUUAGAAAAUGGAUGAGAGUUUUAGAUAAUUUCUUCUUCAUACUUUCUUCAACCAAAAACAAUUGCCUUAUAAGCUACAAGAAUUUACGAAAUGCAUGAACAUGGGAACAUGGGAAACCACCCACUAACUUGGAAUAUAUAAAACCAGUAACCACUACUACUAACCUACUGCAUGAAAUAACUAGAAAUAAUAAUAUAAAUGAACGUGGGCAAUGCAUGUGAGAUGGUAUGGUGGCUGCAUGACAUGGCACAUAUCACAAGAAGUUCUUAGCAGUAGCAGUUUUCAAAAAGUCUUCUGUUUGACCGGGUCGAAGAAGUUCUGGAGUUUGUUAAAUCCAAAACUGGGUCGAAGACUUGGAAGAAUGUGGUUGGAGUUGUGGUGUUCGUGACAUUUUGGAGAUUGUGGAAAUGUAGAAACGGAAAACGACAACAACAUAACAAUAUUCCAGCCCCUAAAAUCGUUGAGUUGAUUAAGGAAGGUGCUAUCUUUUGGAUAAAGAAUAGAUCAAGGUUUGUUUCUUUGAGUUGGGAAAUGUGGAUUGAUUUUAAUGUAUGUAUUCUAUUAUAAAUUGUAACUUUUGCCCAA